UCCAUUACUCCACUAAAUGUCUCUGCUCCUGGUUUUUGAGCCACUGUCUAUCUCUGUGACCUUGUUUUAUUGAUCCCCCAGUCCUUUGUGUUAUUCACAUUAUUGAUUACAGGAGUGAAGGACGCCGGGUGUAAACGAGAGGAAUUGAACACAGUCUCUCGUCUCUCACACUCUCACUCUGCAAUCCCAGACUUGGGCUUGAGGUCACUUCCUGCUCCAGCAAGGAAUCCUGAGACCCCUAUAAUACAGCAAGACACAACAAGAGAUGAACCUGGCCUGAUAGCUCAGGAAGUCAGCAGUCACGAUGUUUGAGUCAGAAUUAACAGGAACGGCUGGAAGUGAAUGAGUCAUCAGCAGCAGGCAAGCAAAACUGGAACUGCCUUACAGACUCUACAGAAACACACAGGCUCAAAGGCAAUCAGUGACGCAGGGACACAAUGUGUUUGAAGUAACAUUUUAAACUACUGCAGCUGUUUGUUCCUCCAUUGUAAGAUGGGAAUUUGGCCAAACCUAAAAAGUCACAUUGCGUUGCCUCAGUAAGGCAGGCAAGUCAAUAACAGACUUCUCAGACUCUGUUUAUGUAACCCUGCAAAUAUGGAGUGCCUCAAAUGGUUUCUGUGAAGGCAUUCGUGACAAAUGUAUACCGAUUAUGAAGCCAGCAUCUCAAAACAUUAAAGGAAUGGUUUAAAUCAUGAACAUUUUCCCUAAUACUUAAUUUCUUAACUGGAUACAAUCCUAUUAUUAUUAUUAUUAUUAUUAUUAUUAUUAUUAUUAUUAUUAUUAUUAUU